rnacentral:rRNA from 1 species
CAGCGCCACGGGAAUACGGAGGGCGCGAGCGUUACCCGGAUUUACUGGGCGUAAAGGGCGUGUAGGCGGCCUGGGGCGUCCCAUGUGAAAGGCCACGGCUCAACCGUGGAGGAGCGUGGGAUACGCUCAGGCUAGAGGGUGGGAGAGGGUGGUGGAAUUCCCGGAGUAGCGGUGAAAUGCGCAGAUACCGGGAGGAACGCCGAUGGCGAAGGCAGCCACCUGGUCCACUUCUGAUGCUGAGGCGCGAAAGCGUGGGGAGCAAACCGGAUUAGAUACCCCGGUAGUCCCUGUCUCUUAUACA